CUCAGUUGAAUGGCUUCAGGGGACAAAAGCAGGACUUCCAUUAGAACUCUCGGAGCCCCACACAAACACCCUGGCAGGGCCCAUUUCAAGGUCUGUCUCAGCAAACAGAGGACCAAUCUAGGAAUGACUUCAAGUGAAGGUGAAGAGAAAAUAUUUAAAGAGUUUGUAUGCAGACAGUGGGGCAUCUAAUGAAUAGACAUUUGCUAGAUAAUGG